GCUCCAGCCCUCUUCUUGUCUUCUCUUGCAUCUCUUUUUUCUUUCUCUCCUCUUCUCUUAGUUUGGCCCUUUCUUUCUCUCUCAGCCUCUCCUCCUGUUCCUUUCUCUCCAUUUCUGCUUCCAUCCCUCUCUUCCUCCCUUCAUCCUCUUUCAGUUUUUCCAUCAUGGCUUUCCUCUUGCUCUCCUCUUCUUUCAGUCUCACAGUUUUCACUUCUCUCUGUCUCUCCACUUCUAGCUGUCUUGAUUUGUUCUCCUCUUCCAAUCUCCUUUCUUUUCCUCUAUCUAUUUCGGUAUUUCCAUUGUCCUUCAGGAAGAGCAAGUCUAGGUCUACACUGGCUUCCUCACUUUCAUUCCAGUCUUCUUCUGAUCCAUCCUCAGUGUCUUCAAAGGAUAGUCCCAUGGACUUCCACAGCUGGGAGGUCUCCUCCUCUAUUUUCCACAUCAUAUCUGUGUUCCUCUCGUCUCUCGUCUGUGGCUCUUUAACUUUCUCAUCCUCCUUCUUCUCCAUCUUCUCCUUCUCUUCUUUUCCUGAAUUCUCACUUCCCUCUUGUCUCUCCUUUCCUUUUUGCCUCUGGUCUUCAUGUUUCUCCCUCUCCCUUUCUUUGUUUAUUUCAAUUUCUGCUUCCUCUCUUUUUCGCUCCAUCUCCUCCAUCCUUCUUUGCUGCUCCUCUCUUUUUUGCUCUGUCUCCACUCUCACUUUCUCAAUCUCCUCUCUCCUUCUCACCAUCUCUGCUUUAGCUCUCUCCAUGUCUAUCCUUCUUUCCUGUUCCUCUCUUUUUUGCUCUGUCUCCAGUCUCACUUUCUC
ensembl:lncRNA